rnacentral:rRNA from 1 species
GUUGAACGCUGGCGGCAUGCCUUACACAUGCAAGUCGAACGGUAACAGGUCUUCGGAUGCUGACGAGUGGCGAACGGGUGAGUAAUACAUCGGAACGUGCCUAGUAGUGGGGGAUAACUACUCGAAAGAGUGGCUAAUACCGCAUGAGAUCUACGGAUGAAAGCAGGGGAUCGCAAGACCUUGUGCUACUAGAGCGGCCGAUGGCAGAUUAGGUAGUUGGUGGGAUAAAAGCUUACCAAGCCGACGAUCUGUAGCUGGUCUGAGAGGACGAUCAGCCACACUGGGACUGAGACACGGCCCAGACUCCUACGGGAGGCAGCAGAGGGGAAUUUUGGACAAUGGGCGCAAGCCUGAUCCAGCAAUGCCGCGUGCAGGAUGAAGGCCUUCGGGUUGUAAACUGCUUUUGUACGGAACGAAAAGCCCUGGGUUAAUACCCUGGGGUCAUGACGGUACCGUAAGAAUAAGCACCGGCUAACUACGUGCCAGCCGCCGCCGUAAAAC